rnacentral:lncRNA from 1 species
CCCCGCCCGCGCGCGCCCCCCCCCGGAGGGGGGGGCGCGGCGGGGGGGGGGGGGGGGGAGUCGAGGAGGGGCCGCGCCCGGUCCUCGCCCGCAGCGGGCACCGCCGGGGGCCCCGGGAGGCCUUGUUGGUAUUCCGGGCACAGCAGAAGCCCUGACCUCCCCGCGGAACAGGGGCGCCCGGGAGCGCGGCGCGGCCGCCGCCCCCGGGCGGUCUCCCCGGACUGCGGGGCCGUAGGCGCCUUGCUCCCCCUCCUCCCUGUCCCCUCCUCUCCAGGUCCCCCGUACCCCCUCCCCCGGCCUGAUCCGGCGGCGAAGGGGUGGGCAGGGAAACGCGCUCUCUGGGACAGGUGCCAACUCCGAGACAAAAGACAUAAAAUAGGCGGCAACGGGGGAAGCGCGGCCGGCGCGCUCGGGCGGGGACGGAGGCGCCGCGGGGGCCGCAUCCUCGGUGCCGACCGGGGAAAGUUUGGGAAGUCGCCGCGGCGGCUUCGCAGCGGCGGGGGACACGCGGGCCGGGCCGCCCUCCGCGCCGCGCUCGCCCUCUCCGCGCCGCUGCUGAAUAAUUCAUGGCGCGGCCGCCGGCCAUUAGCAUGCACCGGGCGCGCGGCGCGUCUGUGCCCAGCCGUCGCCGCCGCAUUCGGCGCCCCGGCCGCGCUAGACGAGCGGCCGCGCAGAGGCCGGGCCCGCGCCGUCCCCGCGCUCGCCCGCCCGUCCGCCCGUCCGCCCACCCGGCGGCUCCCAUUGUGCCCCAGGCCCGCGCCGCUCCGCCGUCCUGUGACCGCCUGCGCCCCGCAGCGCGCCCGACGGCCGGCCGCUGGAAGUUCGGGCCCGCGGCGCACGCCCUGCCGCCCCGGGAUGCACGUGAACUUGGAGAAAGUCUCGGGGCGCGCCGGCGCAGACCUCCGCGGCAGGGCGUGGGCGCCCCUGGCCCCGCGCGCUUUCGUUUUCGUCUGGGACAAAGGUCCCUCGCGGCGCAGGUCGCGGACGUGGAGGCAGUGCCCUGCGGGCCACUCAGCGGGGAGGUCCGGUCGUUCAGUCAAGGGAAGCCGGAGCCUGGAGAAGACGAGCCGCGCGGUCGGAGGCGCGGUGCGGGACCAGGACAGUGGGGCCUGGCCGUGCGCUUCGCCCUGGCGGUCCAGGAGCUGUCUCGCCCUCCGAAGAGUUACGGGAGGUGGCACUGCUUUUGCUCUCUGCCCUUUCGACACGUGAAGGAGAGAAUCAUUCGGAACCCAGGACUCAGACCGGUGGCCGAGGGCCUGUGCAGCCGCGAGCACGACAGCGCAGCGCUGGCCGCGUCCGCGCGCGUUCCUCCGACAAGGGCAGAGCAGUCGACCAGCGCGCCCCAGUCUCGAUCGGGUUCAAGGCGACUCUUGAGGACGGUGUGGGGCUUUGAAAGUACAAUCCUGCAUGGCCUUACUGUGAAUGGAUGGGCACUUUGUCUCGGUCCGGAUGCAGGAGUCCUGCCUUUAGAGGCAGCUCAGAAGCCCUGUGGAUGGAUCGUACGAGCGCCCCGGCCCAGCCCACUUGCAGCCAGUGGUAGGAGGCUUGCCGAGCAGAGAUGUGACCGGCCGAGACUGCGGUUAUUAUCGCCAAAUGAGACUGGUAGUUGUGGUUAG